AUGUCGUCGACGCAGAAGAAGAAGAGCAACUAUAAGGAGAAGAUGGCGCGGCGGAAGGAGGAGAACAAAAAAGAAGAACCAGAGACACCAAGGUACCGAGAUCGUGCAAAGGAGCGUCGUGAAGAUCAAAACCCUGACUAUGAACCUACAGAGCUUGGUUCGUUUCAUGCCGUGGCACCUCCUGGAGCAGAUUUGAGGCUAGAAGAUGCCCAAAAGAUUUCAAUUGAGAAAAGCAAAUACCUUGGAGGCGAUCUGGAGCAUACUCAUUUGGUCAAAGGGUUGGAUUUUGCUCUACUUAACAAAGUACGGAGUGAAAUUGACAAGAAGCCUGAUGCAGAGGAUGGGAAGGAUGCCAAGGCGAGGGAAACAAAAGAAGACCGGGCGGUCUCAUUCCGCACUGCAAUUGCAAAGUCUGUCUACCAGUGGACUGUAAAGCAACAACAAAGCAUGAUAAAGGCGAAUGACAUGUUUCUUCCUGGCCGGAUGGCAUUUAUUUACAAUAUGGAGGAUGGACUUAACAGUGAUAUUCCAACAACUCUUCACAGGAGCAAAGCUGAUUGCCCUGUCCCAGAGGAAAUGGUCACUGUCAGCGUAGAUGGCUCUGUACUUGACAGGAUUGCCAAAAUCAUGUCAUACCUUAGACUUGGAUCAUCAGGGAAGGUAUUGAAGAAGAAGAAAAAGGAAAGGGAUACAAAAGGGAAGAGUAAUUUGGCAGGCGGUGUCUACAAUGAGGUAGUAAGACCUGCCCAAAGUGAUGGUUCUGUUCAGAAACACCAGUCAGAAAAGGAUAUGCCACCACCACCCCCACCCCCACGAAAGAGUAACUUCAGUGAAAAGGAGAAACAUUCUGUCCCUGUUGCUAGAGCAGAUGACGAUGACAUAUUCAUUGGAGAUGGAGUUGACUAUACUGUUCCUAACAAGGAAAUGAGCCAGAGCCCCAUCUCCGAAGAUAUGGAUGAAUCCCCACGUAUCCAUCAGAAUCAGUCCAAUUUGAAUGAACCUGUGUAUGGUCCUAUUCAACCAUCCGAACCUGCUCAAGCUUGGCAACAGCCAAUGGAUGGUUAUGAUGCUAUGCAAGCCCAAAUGGCAGCUGCUGGAUACCAAGGCGAGUGGUCAGGCUAUCAGUAUGCGGAACAGCAGCUGGCUUAUCCAGAACAGUACAUGCAACAGGGUACUGUGGGAUACGAUGUGUUAGUUGACCCAAAUAUAUCUCAGGAUCCAAGGUUGAUGACUCAAGCAGACAAGGAUAAGGGUCUAGGUUCUGUCUUCAAGCGUGAUGAUGACAGGCUUAAGCAGCUGAGGGAAAAAGAUGCGCGGGAGAAAGACCCAAAUUUUAUUUCAGAUAGUUACUCUGAGUGUUAUCCUGGUUACCAGGGUUAUAAUCAAGAGAUUGCAGGGAGUGACGAUGAAGAUGAUUUGUCAAAGAUGGAUAUGGGUGGACGGGCGAAGGGCCGUCUUCACCGCUGGGACUUUGAGACGGAAGAAGAGUGGGCGAAAUACAACGAUCAGAAGGAAGCCAUGCCAAAGGCGGCAUUCCAGUUUGGUGUGAAGAUGCAGGAUGGCAGGAAGACCAGGAAGCAGAACAAGGAUCAGAAGCUCAGCAACGACCUCAACAAGAUCAACAAGAUCCUGGCGAGGAAGAAGGGCGAUAAAGAUGGAGGCGAAGGGCAUUAUGAUGACGAUCUACCCAGCGGGAAGAAACAGCGAGCUUGA
rnacentral:rRNA from 1 species